rnacentral:rRNA from 1 species
GGUUAAGCGACUAAGCGUACACGGUGGAUGCCCUGGCAGUCAGAGGCGAUGAAGGACGUGCUAAUCUGCGAAAAGCGUCGGUAAGGUGAUAUGAACCGUUACAGCCGGCGAUGUCCGAAUGGGGAAACCCAGUGCAAUUCGUUGCACUAUCGUUAACUGAAUACAUAGGUUAACGAGGCGAACCGGGGGAACUGAAACAUCUAAGUACCCCGAGGAAAAGAAAUCAACCGAGAUUCCCCCAGUAGCGGCGAGCGAACGGGGAGCAGCCCAGAGUCUGAAUCAGCUUGUGUGUUAGUGGAACGGUCUGGAAAGUCCGACGGUACAGGGUGAUAGUCCCGUACACCAAAAUGCACAGGUUGUGAACUCGAAGAGUAGGGCGGGACACGUGGUAUCCUGUCUGAAUAUGGGGGGACCAUCCUCCAAGGCUAAAUACUCCUGACUGACCGAUAGUGAACCAGUACCGUGAGGGAAAGGCGAAAAGAACCCCGGCGAGGGGAGUGAAAAAGAACCUGAAACCGUGUACGUACAAGCAGUGGGAGCACCUUCGGGUGUGACUGCGUACCUUUUGUAUAAUGGGUCAGCGACUUAUAUUCUGUAGCAAGGUUAACCGUAUAGGGGAGCCGCAGGGAAACCGAGUCUUAACUGGGCGUUAAGUUGCAGGGUAUAGACCCGAAACCCGGUGAUCUAGCCAUGGGCAGGUUGAAGGUUGGGUAACACUAACUGGAGGACCGAACCGACUAAUGUUGAAAAAUUAGCGGAUGACUUGUGGCUGGGGGUGAAAGGCCAAUCAAACCGGGAGAUAGCUGGUUCUCCCCGAAAGCUAUUUAGGUAGCGCCUCGUGAAUUCAUCUUCGGGGGUAGAGCACUGUUUCGGCUAGGGGGUCAUCCCGACUUACCAACCCGAUGCAAACUACGAAUACCGAAGAAUGUUAUCACGGGAGACACACGGCGGGUGCUAACGUCCGUCGUGAAGAGGGAAACAACCCAGACCGCCAGCUAAGGUCCCAAAGUCAUGGUUAAGUGGGAAACGAUGUGGGAAGGCACAGACAGCCAGGAUGUUGGCUUAGAAGCAGCCAUCAUUUAAAGAAAGCGUAAUAGCUCACUGGUCGAGUCGGCCUGCGCGGAAGAUGUAACGGGGCUAAACCAUGCACCGAAGCUGCGGCAGCGACACUAUGUGUUGUUGGGUAGGGGAGCGUUCUGUAAGCCUGCGAAGGUGACCUGUGAGGGUUGCUGGAGGUAUCAGAAGUGCGAAUGCUGACAUAAGUAACGAUAAAGCGGGUGAAAAGCCCGCUCGCCGGAAGACCAAGGGUUCCUGUCCAACGUUAAUCGGGGCAGGGUGAGUCGACCCCUAAGGCGAGGCCGAAAGGCGUAGUCGAUGGGAAACAGGUUAAUAUUCCUGUACUUGGUGUUACUGCGAAGGGGGGACGGAGAAGGCUAUGUUAGCCGGGCGACGGUUGUCCCGGUUUAAGCAUGUAGGCUGGUUGUCCAGGCAAAUCCGGAUAAUCAAGGCUGAGGUGUGAUGACGAGGCACUACGGUGCUGAAGUAACAAAUGCCCUGCUUCCAGGAAAAGCCUCUAAGCAUCAGGUAACAUCAAAUCGUACCCCAAACCGACACAGGUGGUCAGGUAGAGAAUACCAAGGCGCUUGAGAGAACUCGGGUGAAGGAACUAGGCAAAAUGGUGCCGUAACUUCGGGAGAAGGCACGCUGGUGUGUAGGUGAAGUCCCUGCGGAUGGAGCUGAGACCAGUCGAAGAUACCAGCUGGCUGCAACUGUUUAUUAAAAACACAGCACUGUGCAAACACGAAAGUGGACGUAUACGGUGUGACGCCUGCCCGGUGCCGGAAGGUUAAUUGAUGGGGUUAUCCGUAAGGAGAAGCUCUUGAUCGAAGCCCCGGUAAACGGCGGCCGUAACUAUAACGGUCCUAAGGUAGCGAAAUUCCUUGUCGGGUAAGUUCCGACCUGCACGAAUGGCGUAAUGAUGGCCAGGCUGUCUCCACCCGAGACUCAGUGAAAUUGAACUCGCUGUGAAGAUGCAGUGUACCCGCGGCAAGACGGAAAGACCCCGUGAACCUUUACUAUAGCUUGACACUGAACAUUGAGCCUUGAUGUGUAGGAUAGGUGGGAGGCUUUGAAGCGUGGACGCCAGUCUGCGUGGAGCCAACCUUGAAAUACCACCCUUUAAUGUUUGAUGUUCUAACGUUGGCCCCUUACCGGGGUUGCGGACAGUGUCUGGUGGGUAGUUUGACUGGGGCGGUCUCCUCCCAAAGCGUAACGGAGGAGCACGAAGGUUAGCUAAUCCUGGUCGGACAUCAGGAGGUUAGUGCAAUGGCAUAAGCUAGCUUGACUGCGAGCGUGACGGCGCGAGCAGGUGCGAAAGCAGGUCAUAGUGAUCCGGUGGUUCUGAAUGGAAGGGCCAUCGCUCAACGGAUAAAAGGUACUCCGGGGAUAACAGGCUGAUACCGCCCAAGAGUUCAUAUCGACGGCGGUGUUUGGCACCUCGAUGUCGGCUCAUCACAUCCUGGGGCUGAAGUAGGUCCCAAGGGUAUGGCUGUUCGCCAUUUAAAGUGGUACGCGAGCUGGGUUUAGAACGUCGUGAGACAGUUCGGUCCCUAUCUGCCGUGGGCGCUGGAGAAUUGAGGGGGGCUGCUCCUAGUACGAGAGGACCGGAGUGGACGCAUCACUGGUGUUCGGGUUGUCAUGCCAAUGGCACUGCCCGGUAGCUAAAUGCGGAAGAGAUAAGUGCUGAAAGCAUCUAAGCACGAAACUUGCCCCGAGAUGAGUUCUCCCUGAGACUUUAAGUCUCCUGAAGGAACGUUGAAGACGACGACGUUGAUAGGCCGGGUGUGUAAGCGCAGCGAUGCGUUGAGCUAACCGGUACUAAUGAACCGUGAGGCUUAACCUU